CCUACGGGGGGCUGCAGUGAGGAAUCUUCCUCAAUGGGGGAAACCCUGAAGGAGCGACACUGCGUGCAGGAUGAAGGCCCUUUGGGUUGUAAACUGCUUUUGCAGGGGAGAAAUAACCGAAUGGGAUGAUAGUACUCUGCGAAUAAGUCCCGGCUAACUACGUGCCAGCAGCCGCGGUAAUACGUAAGGGGCGAACGUUGCUCGGAAUCACUGGGCGUAAAGGGCCGGUAGGUGGCUUUAUAAGUCGGUUGUCAAAUACCUAUGCUCAACGUGGGAGAGGCGACCGAUACUGUAGAGCUUGAGUAGAGGAUGGGAUGAUGGAAUACCCGGUGUAGGGGUGAAAUCUGUUGAUAUCGGGUAGAACACCGAUGGCGAAAGCGAUCAUCUAGCCUCAUACUGACACUCAACGGCGAAAGCCAGGGGAGCGAACGGGCUUAGAUACCCGAGUAGUC
rnacentral:rRNA from 1 species